CCCAGUCAGACACUGGAGAUUGGUCCCUUGCCCAGUGGCUCUGAGCUUGGCACUCAGCAGAUGUUCAGGUGCCUUUGUUAAUUGAAUUCAGUCCAUGCUACACCCAGUUUGUGGCAGAUCUGGGUCUCUAAGAUCUAGUCUCUAGACCACUGAACUCGGCUUCUCUUUCUGUUUCAUCUUGCUGCUAGCAUAAUCAUACCCUCCUGGAAGGAUGCUUUGGCACUCUUGGAAGUUCUCUGGGUGAAUGUUGCUAUGAUACGUCUUGCAGAGAGCUGACUGCUCAGAAGUGAGGGCAAGUGCUAUUUAAGUUGGGCAGCAGCAAGGUGACUCAGAUGAGGACAAUAUGAAGCAGUGUCCACUGUGUCCAUGGCAUGGUCAAGGGAUUCUGAGAGCUGAGCCCGGUGCCUGCACCUCACUGAGGGGAAGCCCUACUGUGGAGCAAGGGGCGGAGGAAGGUGCUGGGAGCAAGUUUGGUGCUGUUGCUGGACCAGCCACCCAGUGUCUCAGGCUUUACAAAACAAUGUGCUAAUGGCUACCUUGUCGGAUGAAAUGAAUUAUAGAAAGGAGAGUCUGAAUGGAUUUCCUCUCCCAUGACUCGGUUCCUUUAAUCUCUGUAGCAACCCCCAACACGUCUCAGAUGUGAAAUGCAAAACCUUGAAGGCACAGAGUGCGGCUAGUCCUAAAACUGAAACAAUUCCUCUAUUAAUACAUCAGAACAGAUCACGGCUCUCGCCUGAUGAGUAUACCCCGUCCCCGACUGCUGUGACCACUCCUGGAUCUGGAUCUCUGUCCUUCCAUCAGGAUCCCCUCUCUCCACAGUCACAGCAAUUCUUACAUCUCUUCCCAGACUCAACGUCUCUGUGAAAGCUCCCCAGUGAUCAUGCCUCGUGUGUUAGUCAACUGUCUGCCACUAUGACAAAAUGGCAGAGGUCAUCAAUCUAUAAAUAGGCAAGAUUUUGGCUUCUGGUUGGAUCCAGAGGUUUCCUGGAUGCCUGAUCAUCAUUUUGCAUCUGCAGCAGCACAAGUGAUCAUGGGGGGGAAACUUGUGAUUGGAGGCAACCUGUCCUUUUCACAUCAGCCAGGAAACAGAGACAGGAAGAAAUCAGAGCCCAGUAUCUCUUAUAAAGAUACUCCUCCAAAGACCUAACUUCUUUCUAGGACCCACUCUUAAAGCUCCCAUCUCCUCUAAAUAGCAUCAUAGCUUGAUUCCUUGUGACCAAUUCCUGUAAUGAGAAGCUAGGAUCACAGAGCAAACACUCCUUGAUGCAGACAGCCAAUGUCUGAAGCUGACAGAGUGAAAAAUGGCUGCCAUUGACUAAGCCCAUUGGGAUGGUCUAUGCAAAGACCACCCCGUUUGUGACCUUCCCCCAAAGAAGAAUAAGAAGAAUAAGAAGAAGGAGGAAGAGGAGGGAGAAGAAGGAGGAGGAGGAGGAGGAGCAGCAGAAGCCCAAUUUGUGUUGCCCAUAUACUCACUGGAGCAUGGUCAAACUUACCAUGGCCUUAAAGAAAACUGAGUCCUUCCCCAUUGUACCCCAACAGAAGCCAUCAACUGUGGGGAGCUAUACUUCAACAUCCUUACCACAUUUUAAAGAGUUCCCUAUGAUGGUUGCCUGUCUAGGCUGUUAAUUUUUGGCAUGGGGGUAGAGGUUGUCACAGAAGCCUUCUAUAAUCCUCUUUCUCAACUGUGAGUCUGCAGUCGUCGAUACGUCUGCAAAAUUACCUUAGUUGACUUUUACAGUCAGCAGGAGCACAGAUCACACAUUUCCAUAUGGUCUUUAGUGGCAGCGCUGCCCAUGAACAUCAUCAACGUGGUGGCUUCAGGUGGCAGGCAGCCCAGAGCACAGACAUCUACACGGCCUUCAGUGGUAACAUGGGCCACAGAUAGCAACAUGUCCUCUGGCGACAAUAGGAUCAUGGACCCAGAUAAGGUCCUGGGUGGCAGCAUGGAUUGUGGACAUCAACAUGGACUUAGGUGGCUACACAGGCCAUCCACAUCAACACAGUUCCAAGCUGCUGUAAAGACUACAAACAUCCACAUGAACCUCAGUCUUCAACAUGGCCUGGGGCAGUGGACCAUGGAUACCAACAUGGCUUCCAGGGCCAGCGUGGACCAUAGAGGAGGUCUAAUCCAGAAAAUGAACCAUUCUUCAUCUUAGACAUCCUGUCUGUUGCUGAGAACCAGGGUAAUCAUGUGACUGGGGAGCAUGUUCGGGAUCUGAGUCUGUGCAGGCUCUAGGCUGCGGCACACCACCCUGCCAGCCUUGCUUAGCAAGGACAUGUUCCCCUGUCUACCACAGUUGUCUCUCAGACCUGUCACUGUAGUCCCACUCACUGCUACGCUCCUCCAUUUUUCCUCCCUCUCCAUACCAUAUUUGUUUGUUGUAUUGGCAUUGGAAACCACACUGUGUCACCUAGUAUAUAUUGCCCAAAUAGCUUUACAUGCAAAUAUUCAUUGCAAUGAGUCAUUGGUCUGGUUCAAAGUUUCUGGUUUCUCAGGGACCAUAAAUACUGGACCAUUGUCCAGACUCCUCUUGGAUAUCCUGCUGUGGCUGAGAGUGAGGGUGAUGUUGUGGGGUGAUGGGGUGGCUAGGCAGGGUGACUGGGGAGGAGGGCAGGUUCUGUGCCAGCUCCUGGUUGCUGCACACCUCCCUGUCCUUUACAUCUGCCACCCUGAGGUACGCCAGGCUGGAUCUCUGUGCUUGUAGCCUGCUGGUGGCGCUGCUGCCCCACACUAUCAGUCUCCCAGCCGGAGAAGCAGCCAGGGCUGCAGUGCUGCUCCAUGGGGGUGGGGAGGUGGCUGGCGGGCCUAGGACCAGCCAUUCAGUAAUGACAUGUUUCCUCAGAAACUCCAGGCCUCUGCACACUAUCCUGUCCUCUGCAGGCAACACUACUGCACGUGCUCUCUGUCUCCAGCAGGGCAAGCAGCACAGGCUGCAGCCCCGGGCUCCGUGUUGGGGCUGGCCAGUCAGUCCUAUUCAGUAAUGACAUGUUUCCUUGGGAGCUCCAGGUCAUCUGCACUUUCAGUCUCUCAGCAGGGCAAGCAUCAUGGGCCCCAAUCAUGUGGUGGUUCUGUGCUGGGAGUUGGCCUGACUUGUUUCUGCAGGAGCUCCAGGCCACCACACAACUCUCUAUCCUUUGUGCCUGCAACCCCAUGGUCAUCAGGCGCAACCUUUGUGUUUGCAGCUUUCUGGCGGAGACUCUGUGGCUAAGGGUGUAGACCAGUCAUUCUCUGUCACAAGUGUCCCUGUUCUGCCAUCUUUCUUUCCAGUUUGGUGGGUCCACUUUUUAAAAGCACCUUCCAAUACCACUUGCCUUCCCCCGACCCCCUUAGUUGUUCCAGAACUACUGCAGGCUCUGUAGACUCCUUUUUCGCCACCUUGUCACCCUCCAGAACCUCCAUGGAUCUCCCAGACUCCUCGGAGAUCCGUGGCCAUCUUUGAUUUCUCUCACAAAGUGCUAUUGAAAACACUAGCUCAGAGCAAGUGCGUUGUUUUAUUUUUCUUUAUUGUGUAUCUACCGUGUGCCUGGUACUGUCCUACUGUUCUUGGUGCUAAAUACUCAGAAAUAAAGGAGCUGUGGUAGUAUAUUACAGGUAGUCAUGGCUUAUUAA